CUCUCUCUUUCUUCUCCUUUAAAUUCCGUUUAUUCACACGAUUUUGAUGCUCAUUUCCACCCAUCUUCCAUCCUUUCCUAUCUCAAAUUCCUCCAAUCUCGUUACUUCCAACCCAUCUCUGGAAAAGGAAAAGAGAAAGAAGGAGAACAAAAGAAAGAGGAAGAAGAUUUGGAGAUCGAGAAAAGGAAAGAAGAUGUUAUUGUUUCAACCGUUUUGAGAAAGGCGAGAACACACCAUCUUGGUCUUCCCAAUUCUUCUUUUCUCGAUUGCUCUUUCUU
rnacentral:ribozyme from 1 species